rnacentral:rRNA from 1 species
AUUGAACGCUGGCGGCAUGCCUUACACAUGCAAGUCGAACGGCAGCGGGGGAGAAGCUUGCUUUUCCUGCCGGCGAGUGGCGAACGGGUGAGUAAUACAUCGGAACGUGCCCUGUAGUGGGGGAUAACUAGUCGAAAGAUUAGCUAAUACCGCAUACGACCUGAGGGUGAAAGCAGGGGACCGUAAGGCCUCAUGCUAUAGGAGCGGCCGAUGUCUGAUUCGCUAGUUGGUGGGGUAAAGGCCUACCAAGGCGACGAUCAGUAGCUGGUCUGAGAGGACGAUCAGCCAAACUGGGACUGAGACACGGCCCAGACUCCUACGGGAGGCAGCAGUGGGGAAUUUUGGACAAUGGGCGAAAGCCUGAUCCAGCAAUGCCGCGUGUGUGAAGAAGGCCUUCGGGUUGUAAAGCACUUUUGUCCGGAAAGAAAUGGCUCUGGUUAAUACCUGGGGUCGAUGACGGUACCGGAAGAAUAAGGACCGGCUAACUACGUGCCAGCCGCCGCCGUAA